rnacentral:rRNA from 1 species
GUGAAAUUGUUGAAAGGGAAGCGCUUGCAACCAGACCUGCCUGCAGUUGCUCAUCCGUGGCUUUUGCCCGGUGCACUCUUCUGCUGUCAGGCCAGCAUCAGUUCGGGCGGUCGGAUAAAGGCUUCGGGAAUGUAGCUCCUCUCGGGGAGUGUUAUAGCCCGUUGCGAAAUGCGGCCAGCCUGGACUGAGGUCCGCGCUUCGGCUAGGAUGCUGGCGUAAUGGUUGUAAGCGGCCCGUCUUGAAACACGGACCAAGGAGUCUAACAUCUGUGCGAGUGUUUGGGUGUUAAACCCGUACGCGUAAUGAAAGUGAACGGAGGCGGGAACCCCUCGGGGUGCACCGUCGACCGAUCCUGAUGUCUUCGGAUGGAUUUGAGUAAGAGCAUAGCUGUUGGGACCCGAAAGAUGGUGAACUAUGCCUGAAUAGGGUGAAGCCAGAGGAAACUCUGGUGGAGGCUCGCAGCGGUUCUGACGUGCAAAUCGAUCGUCAAAUUUGGGCAUAGGGGCGAAAGACUAAUCGAACUAUCUAGUAGCUGGUUCCUGCCGAAGUUUCCCUCAGGAUAGCAGUAACGUUUUCAGUUUUAUGAGGUAAAGCGAAUGAUUAGAGGCCUGGGGGUUGAAACAACCUUCACCUAUUCUCAAACUUUAAAUAUGUAAGAAGUCCUUGUUGCUCAGUUGAACGUGGACAUUUGAAUGUAUCGUUACUAGUGGGCCAUUUUUGGUAAGCAGAACUGGCGAUGCGGGAUGAACCGAACGCGGAGUUAAGGUGCCGGAAUGCACGCUCAUCAGACACCACAAAAAGU